UACGUAGGGUGCGAGCGUUAAUCGGAAUUACUGGGCGUAAAGCGUGCGCAGGCGGCUUUGCAAGACAGAUGUGAAAUCCCCGGGCUCAACCUGGGAACUGCAUUUGUGACUGCAAGGCUAGAGUACGGCAGAGGGCGAUGGAAUUCCGCGUGUAGCAGUGAAAUGCGUAGAUAUGCGGAGGAACACCAAUGGCGAAGGCAAUCCCCUGGGCCUGUACUGACGCUCAUGCACGAAAGCGUGGGGAGCAAACAGG
rnacentral:rRNA from 1 species